GACGAACGCUGGCGGCGCGCUUAACACAUGCGAGUCGAACGGAAAGGCCUGCUUUCCCUUGUGGAUUGCGGGUACUCGAGUGGCGAACGGGUGAGUAACACGUGAGUGAUCUGCCCCCAACUUGGGUAUAAGCCUGGGAAACUGGGUCUAAUUCCCGAUAGGACUGCAGGGUGGUGCCUGUGGUGGAAAACGAUUUUCUAGUGGUUGGGGAUGAGCUCGCGGCCUAUCAGCUUGUUGGUGGGGUAAUGGCCUACCAAGGCGGCGACGGGUAGCCGGCCUGAGAGGGUGGACGGCCACAUUGGGACUGAGAUACGGCCCAGACUCCUACGGGAGGCAGCAGUGGGGAAUAUUGCACAAUGGGCGGAAGCCUGAUGCAGCGACGCCGCGUGGGGGAUGACGGCCUUCGGGUUGUAAACUCCUUUCGACCGCGAGGAAGCCACCUGGUUGGAAGGGUGGCGACGGUAGUGGUAGAAGAAGCACCGGCUAACUACGUG
rnacentral:rRNA from 1 species